rnacentral:rRNA from 1 species
CAGUAGCCGCGGUAAUACGUAGGUGGCAAGCGUUGUCCGGAAUUAUUGGGCGUAAAGCGCGCGCAGGCGGUUUCUUAAGUCUGAUGCGAAAGCCCCCGGCUUAACCGGGGAGGGUCAUUGGAAACUGGGAGACUUAGAGUGCAGAAGAGGAGAGUGGAAUUCCAUGUGUAGCGGUGAAAUGCGUAGAUAUAUGGAGGAACACCAGUGGCGAAGGCGACUCUCUGGUCUGUAACUGACGCUGAGGCGCGAAAGCGUGGGGAGCGAACAGGAUUAGAUACCCCAGUAGUCCCUGUCUCUUAUA